rnacentral:rRNA from 1 species
GUGAACGCUGGCGGUAGGCCUAACACAUGCAAGUCGGACGGCAGCACAGUAAGAGCUUGCUCUUACGGGUGGCGAGUGGCGGACGGGUGAGGAAUACAUCGGAAUCUACUUUUUCGUGGGGGAUAACGUAGGGAAACUUACGCUAAUACCGCAUACGACCUACGGGUGAAAGCAGGGGAUCUUCGGACCUUGCGCGAUUGAAUGAGCCGAUGUCGGAUUAGCUAGUUGGCGGGGUAAAGGCCCACCAAGGCGACGAUCCGUAGCUGGUCUGAGAGGAUGAUCAGCCACACUGGAACUGAGACACGGUCCAGACUCCUACGGGAGGCAGCAGUGGGGAAUAUUGGACAAUGGGCGCAAGCCUGAUCCAGCCAUACCGCGUGGGUGAAGAAGGCCUUCGGGUUGUAAAGCCCUUUUGUUGGGAAAGAAAAGCAGCAGGUUAAUACCCCGCUGUUCUGACAGUACCCAAAGAAUAAGCACCGGCUAACUUCGUG